UUGCUCAGGAUAACCUAUUUGUCUCCUUUGAGUAAGUUGCCUGUUGGGAAGAAGGCAGAAGAUGACUGAAGGAACAACAAAAUCUUAGAUUUACCAAUCAACAUUCACAAAAAUAUUUGGAGAAAAAGUUUAAGUUGGUGGAAAUGAUCAGAUCAAGAGAAGGAGGAAAAUGAAGGCCUUGAGGUUAUUACCCUUGCCAGGUCACAGUAUUGUAAACACAUCAGAGUGUGAUUUACAGCUACUGCCACCCUGCAGUGGUUUGGACUCACUUCAAGCAGAUGAAAAUUGGAUGCUGAUUUCACAGCAUCUGAUAGAUAAUGAAGAAUUCAAAGCCGAGAUAUAAAAGCAAGAAAAGAAGCCAGAAAAGAAAGAGAAAUCGAAGAAAUUGGAAUAGAAUUCCUGUAACACCAAGUCCAGGAAUGUGGAUCCACAGGUUCAUCGUAGCUUCCAGAAUUUCCUUCAUUGAAUCUACAGGUGGAUGGAAGGCAGAGGAGUUUCUCUUUGUCCAGUUUUUUUACCUGGAAUAAAUGGGAAACCACCCUUAACACUACUACCUUUGUUCGAGGACCUCCUUUUCUAACACCAUCUUUGUUGGGGGAGCCUCAUACUCCAGAAUUGUUGCUUGUUCUAACAUAUGAAAUGAAGCUGAAAUAAAUGUAUAAACCCUGAACUUCAUGUACAGAUUUUUGAACUGCACAACUUGAGAAUUAGUUGAUCAAAGGCAUAACUUUGACUACAGUUUAGAGUGUUUUUCUAGUCAUUGGUGAUCUUUCAUGUGUGGAUAACUCUGCAGUUGUGUACAAGUAUAGGUUAAUGUUAGAGAAUAUGACUGCUAACAUUUGAUUUUCUUUGUCGGUUCAUUGUCUUAUAUUCUUUUCUUAGUAUAGUAUGUCAAUAAUUGGAAACUCCAUGGAGAAUAUGGGAUUCAUAUAGAAGGCAAAGGGGCAUCCAUAAUGUUGUAUGAGGGCAAUUAUAUCAUUUUCCUAGAGCUGUCCUAAUAAAUAACCACAAAGAAUUACCACAAACCUAAUUGGAUUUUGAUGUGGUGUAUAAAGUGCCUUUUUCCUGUAUAUUUUGCUUAAUUAUCAUCAGUGUUUUUAAAAAUGUUUAUUUUAAAGGUCAACACAGUCCCCAUUAACUAUGAACUAACUUUCUAAUAAAAAAUUACUUACCCAGCCCACCAAAUGGGGAAAUGAUUCAUCCAUGUAUAUUUCCUAUAAAGGAAAGUAGAAUGACAAUUUCAUUUUUUGGUUUAGUUUACCAUUUAAAUAUUUAUACCUGGCAACAGGAAGAUCUCAUGAAUGAAUGUCGUAUAUUUUGGCAGUUCAGUUUAUGUAGCUUUGAUGUAUAAUUUGUAAUAACACAUUCUAUUUCCUCGCCAUUGUGCUUCAUUGAUUUUCAUUCUCUG